rnacentral:rRNA from 1 species
CAGUCGCCGCGGUAAUACGUAGGGUGCGAGCGUUAAUCGGAAUUACUGGCGUAAAGCGUGCGCAGGCGGUUGUGUAAGACAGGUGUGAAAUCCCCGGGCUUAACCUGGGAACUGCGCUUGUGACUGCACAGCUAGAGUAUGGCAGAGGGGGGUGGAAUUCCACGUGUAGCAGUGAAAUGCGUAGAGAUGUGGAGGAACACCGAUGGCGAAGGCAGCCCCCUGGGCCAAUACUGACGCUCAUGCACGAAAGCGUGGGGAGCAAACAGGAUUAGAUACCCCCGUAGUCCCUGUCUCUUAUACA